GACGAACGCUGGCGGCGUGCUUAACACAUGCAAGUCGAACGGAAAGGCCCUGCUGUUGUGGGGUGCUCGAGUGGCGAACGGGUGAGUAACACGUGAGUAACCUGCCCUUGACUUAGGGAUAACUUCAGGAAACUGGGGCUAAUACCGGAUAGGAGCUCCCGCUGCAUGGUGGGGGCUGGAAAGUUUCGGCGGUUGGGGAUGGACUCGCGGCUUAUCAGCUUGUUGGUGGGGUAGUGGCUUACCAAGGCUUUGACGGGUAGCCGGCCUGCGAGGGUGACCGGCCACAUUGGGACUGAGAUGCGGCCCAGACUCCUACGGGAGGCAGCAGUGGAGAAUAGUGCACAAUGGGCGGAAGCCUAAUGCAGCAACGCCGCGUGCGGGAUGACGGCCUUCGGGUUGUAUACCGCUGUCGCCUGUGACGAAGCGUGAGUGACGGUAAUGGGUAAAGAAGCACCGGCUAACUACGUG
rnacentral:rRNA from 1 species